UGCCGGUCUGAGGGUAACGGGCCAUCAGAACUUAUUGACAUUAGUAUCACUAAAGUUGGUAUACAACCCGCCUGCUGCUAACUUCGACUGGCUUAAA
ensembl:Y_RNA Y_RNA Y RNA